AACGAACGCUGGUGGCAUGCCUAACACAUGUAAGUCGAACGAGACCUUCGGGUCUAGUGGCGCACGGGUGCGUAACGCGUGGGAACCUGCCCUUAGGUUCGGAAUAACUCCCCGAAAGGGGUGCUAAUACCGGAUAAUGUCUUCGGACCAAAGAUUUAUCGCCUUUGGAUGGGCCCGCGUUGGAUUAGCUAGUUGGUAGGGUAAAAGCCUACCAAGGCGACGAUCCAUAGCUGGUCUGAGAGGAUGAUCAGCCACACUGGGACUGAGACACGGCCCAGACUCCUACGGGAGGCAGCAGUGGGGAAUAUUGGACAAUGGGCGAAAGCCUGAUCCAGCAAUGCCGCGUGAGUGAUGAAGGCCUUAGGGUUGUAAAGCUCUUUUACCCGGGAUGAUAAUGACAGUACCGGGAGAAUAAGCUCCGGCUAACUCCGUG
rnacentral:rRNA from 1 species